rnacentral:rRNA from 1 species
AGCGGCGGACGGGUGAGUAACACGUGGGUAACCUGCCUGUAAGACUGGGAUAACUCCGGGAAACCGGGGCUAAUACCGGAUGGUUGUUUGAACCGCAUGGUUCAAACAUAAAAGGUGGCUUCGGCUACCACUUACAGAUGGACCCGCGGCGCAUUAGCUAGUUGGUGAGGUAACGGCUCACCAAGGCAACGAUGCGUAGCCGACCUGAGAGGGUGAUCGGCCACACUGGGACUGAGACACGGCCCAGACUCCUACGGGAGGCAGCAGUAGGGAAUCUUCCGCAAUGGACGAAAGUCUGACGGAGCAACGCCGCGUGAGUGAUGAAGGUUUUCGGAUCGUAAAGCUCUGUUGUUAGGGAAGAACAAGUACCGUUCGAAUAGGGCGGUACCUUGACGGUACCUAACCAGAAAGCCACGGCUAACUACGUGCCAGCAGCCGCGGUAAUACGUAGGUGGCAAGCGUUGUCCGGAAUUAUUGGGCGUAAAGGGCUCGCAGGCGGUUUCUUAAGUCUGAUGUGAAAGCCCCCGGCUCAACCGGGGAGGGUCAUUGGAAACUGGGGAACUUGAGUGCAGAAGAGGAGAGUGGAAUUCCACGUGUAGCGGUGAAAUGCGUAGAGAUGUGGAGGAACACCAGUGGCGAAGGCGACUCUCUGGUCUGUAACUGACGCUGAGGAGCGAAAGCGUGGGGAGCGAACAGGAUUAGAUACCCUGGUAGUCCACGCCGUAAACGAUGAGUGCUAAGUGUUAGGGGGUUUCCGCCCCUUAGUGCUGCAGCUAACGCAUUAAGCACUCCGCCUGGGGAGUACGGUCGCAAGACUGAAACUCAAAGGAAUUGACGGGGGCCCGCACAAGCGGUGGAGCAUGUGGUUUAAUUCGAAGCAACGCGAAGAACCUUACCAGGUCUUGACAUCCUCUGACAAUCCUAGAGAUAGGACGUCCCCUUCGGGGGCAGAGUGACAGGUGGUGCAUGGUUGUCGUCAGCUCGUGUCGUGAGAUGUUGGGUUAAGUCCCGCAACGAGCGCAACCCUUGAUCUUAGUUGCCAGCAUUCAGUUGGGCACUCUAAAGGUGACUGCCGGUGACAAACCGGAGGAAGGUGGGGAUGACGUCAAAUCAUCAUGCCCCUUAUGACCUGGGCUACACACGUGCUACAAUGGGACAGAACAAAGGGCAGCGAAACCGCGAGGUUAAGCCAAUCCCACAAAUCUG